rnacentral:rRNA from 1 species
UACGAAGGGAGCUAGCGUUGUUCGGAAUCACUGGGCGUAAAGCGCGCGUAGGCGGCCCGUUAAGUCGGAUGUGAAAACCCGGGGCUCAACCCCGGGCCUGCAUUCGAUACUGGCGGGCUCGAGGCAGGCAGGGGAGAGCGGAAUUCCUGGUGUAGCGGUGAAAUGCGCAGAUAUCAGGAGGAACACCGGUGGCGAAGGCGGCUCUCUGGGCCUGUCCUGACGCUCAGGCGCGAAAGCUAGGGGAGCAAACGGG